AAUCAGCCCAAGAGGCCGAGUUAACAGCCCUUACGGUGGCCUGUAAACUAUCUAAAGGUACACAAGUCAAUAUUUAUACAGAUUCGAGAUAUGCCCUGGGGGUGGCACAUGAUUUUGGUCUAAUUUGGAAAACCAGGGGGUUCCUCACGGCCACCGGUACCCCUGUGAAACAUGGGGCAGCUAUUGAAGAAUUGAUGGAUGCCCUGUUGCUACCUGAAGAGGUGGCCGUACUGAAGGUAAAGGCCCACGGAAGGUUGAACUCGCAAGAAGCCCAGGGCAAUCACCUGGCUGAUCAGGACGCUGAGGAAGCGGCACGGCAAGCAUGGAAAGUGGACAGAAGAGUGGCCACCGAGACCACUCCUAUCUAUACUAUGCAAACCCUGCCCACAGACCUCAAACUCCUGAAAGAACAGCAAGAGGCCGAGUUAACCCCU